AUCGCUUCUCGGCCUUUUGGCUAAGAUCAAGUGUAGUAUCUGUUCUUAUCAGUUUAAUAAACUCCAUGAAACAUUGAACCAAAUUUGUGAUUUUUCCUGUGGCUUCCCUGUAGCCCUCAUAUAUUUUAAUGUGGCUUCAACAAGGAAAAAAUUUGUUACCAGGAAAUGAGCAUACAUAACUUCUUAACCUGA